rnacentral:rRNA from 1 species
UACGUAGGGGGCAAGCGUUGUCCGGAAUCAUUGGGCGUAAAGAGCGUGUAGGCGGCCCGGUAAGUCCGCUGUGAAAGUCCAGGGCUCAACCCUGGGAUGCCGGUGGAUACUGUCGGGCUCGAGUCCGGAAGAGGAGUGUGGAAUUCCCGGUGUAGCGGUGAAAUGCGCAGAUAUCGGGAGGAACACCAAUUGCGAAGGCAGCUCGCUGGGACGUUACUGACGCUGAGACGCGAAAGCGUGGGGAGCGAACAGG